AGUUCGUCCCGGAGGGCAUCGUUUUUCCUGCCUUGAGGAAGCAACAACAAAUAACCCAGGUGAAAUAUGGAAAUGAGCUAAAUGGAAACAAUUUAAGAAAAACACUGCAUAAACAUGGCAUCCAAAGAGAGGAAGCAGAGACAUGAUGCACCAACUACUACUUUAGUAAUUGAAGAGAGAGAGAAGAGCCUGAAGUCAUUCAAUAAUUAGAUCAAAUAAUUUACUAAUGGAUCAUUUGUCUUCCCUUCCAAUGUUCCUUAGCAAGUUGGCUAAUUGCUCCAUGGUCACAAGAUAGCUGCUG
rnacentral:lncRNA from 10 species